rnacentral:rRNA from 1 species
GAUGAACGCUGGCGGCGUGCCUAAUACAUGCAAGUCGAGCGAAUGGAUUGAGAGCUUGCUCUUAUGAAGUUAGCGGCGGACGGGUGAGUAACACGUGGGUAACCUGCCCAUAAGACUGGGAUAACUCCGGGAAACCGGGGCUAAUACCGGAUAACAUUUUGAACCGCAUGGUUCGAAAUUGAAAGGCGGCUUCGGCUGUCACUUAUGGAUGGACCCGCGUCGCAUUAGCUAGUUGGUGAGGUAACGGCUCACCAAGGCAACGAUGCGUAGCCGACCUGAGAGGGCGAUCGGCCACACUGGGACUGAGGCACGGCCCAGACUCCUACGGGAGGCAGCAGUAGGGAAUCUUCCGCAAUGGACGAAAGUCUGACGGAGCAACGCCGCGUGAGUGAUGAAGGCUUUCGGGUCGUAAAACUCUGUUGUUAGGGAAGAACAAGUGCUAGUUGAAUAAGCUGGCACCUUGACGGUACCUAACCAGAAAGCCACGGCUAACUACGUGCCAGCCGCCGCAGUAA